UUGACGCUUCUCUUUCUGACUUUCUGGAAAAUUCUUACUUGAGUAGAAGAGGUGAAGUGAAUAGUUUGACUUGAAUUUUGAAAAAACUUUGCUCGUUUCUGAGAGCUUACAUUUAAUUAACCGAUUUUUUUCUCGACUUCGACUUGAUAACAUUUGUGUGGUCAUAUGAAUCGUGGAACCAAUUUGUGAAGAAAUUUGUUAUGAAUAGGUUCAAGACGACCAGGAGGUGGAGAUGUAGAAAAAAACGAUAGCCUUUUAGGUUGUAACUUUACAUGGACGAUAUGGUGGAGAGGAAACCUCGAUUUGAAAUAGGUACAUAUUGUUGAAAAGAUUAAUUGGAAUUAAAUCAGAUGACUAUGGGAUUACUUAAAUAUAGGUAGAAAUGCAAUUUGGAAGAAAUUAUACAAAUUGGAUUAUGUACAAAAUAGGGUGGAGUUACCAUUUGUUCUCUAUUGGAAGUGCCAGGAAUUUUGAUGAAAAAUAUUUCUUGUGUUUCAUGACUUAUUGUACUUAUACAUUAUACUUAUAUUACCUGUGUGGAUAAUCCAUUAAAUUGUAAGAACACCAA